UUGAAACACCAGUUCUCGUACGAUCACUGAAGUUAAGCAACGUCAAGCCUAGUCAAUACCUAGAUGGGUGAGCGCUUGGAAAUACCAAGUGCUGUU
rnacentral:rRNA from 1 species